GCAACAUAUUGUACGAAUUGCAAUUCUUAACAUAUCAUGCAAAAUGUAAUUUAUAACAAAUCAUACAAAAUGGAUGAUGGACAUCCACAAAUUAAUACAUACCAAUACGAAACAUUAACAUAUCAAACUAAUUGGAGGGAACCAGAUUUACCUUUACUAUGUUGUGUCUACCCCUGAGUCCAGGUUUCUCAGGCAUGCUCCUAGACCUCCUGUUGACUUCUAUGGCUGCCUCUUCUCUCUCCUCCUCAUCUUUGGACCACCCUUCCUGUCCUGUGUUCCCCUGGCCUGCUGUCCUGCUCCACAUGGGGUUGAUGCAGAUCUGGAAGGCAGUCACACAGCACUGAGUGAAAGAUACGAGACACCUCGCCCACCUUCGGUUCCAACUCUGUCACCAGCUUCCUUGUCCUAGACAUGACAAAGAUUAUGUAUGGAGAAAAAGAGAGAGAAUGGUAAACAUCUUGCAGAGACAGAGAAUACUAAGAUACCAACUAGGAGAAGAGUAACUGGGAAUCUGAGUACUGCAGUCAUCUCUGAGGGAACAGAAGGAAGGAC
ensembl:lncRNA